rnacentral:rRNA from 1 species
GAUGAACGCUGGCGGCGUGCCUAAUACAUGCAAGUCGAGCGAACAGACGAGGAGCUUGCUCCUCUGACGUUAGCGGCGGACGGGUGAGUAACACGUGGAUAACCUACCUAUAAGACUGGGAUAACUUCGGGAAACCGGAGCUAAUACCGGAUAAUAUAUUGAACCGCAUGGUUCAAUAGUGAAAGACGGUUUUGCUGUCACUUAUAGAUGGAUCCGCGCCGCAUUAGCUAGUUGGUAAGGUAACGGCUUACCAAGGCGACGAUGCGUAGCCGACCUGAGAGGGUGAUCGGCCACACUGGAACUGAGACACGGUCCAGGCUCCUACGGGAGGCAGCAGUAGGGAAUCUCCCGCAAUGGGCGAAAGCCUGACGGAGCAACGCCGCGUGAGUGAUGAAGGUCUUCGGAUCGUAAAACUCUGUUAUUAGGGAAGAACAAAUGUGUAAGUAACUAUGCACGUCUUGACGGUACCUAAUCAGAAAGCCACGGCUAACUACGUG